UACAGAGGUCUCAAGCGUUGUUCGGAUUCAUUGGGCGUAAAGGGUGCGUAGGUGGCGGGGUAAGUCAGGUGUGAAAAUCUCGGGGCUCAACCCCCGAAACUGCAUUUGAUACUGCCUUGCUCGAGUACUGGAGAGGAGAUUGGAAUUUACGGUGUAGCAGUGAAAUGCGUAGAUAUCGUAAGGAAGACCAGUGGCGAAGGCGAAUCUCUGGACAGUUCCUGACGCUGAGGCACGAAGGCCAGGGGAGCAAACGGG
rnacentral:rRNA from 1 species